AACCCGUGGGGUGGGCAUUUUAUAGUAAGCUCUUUAAACUUCUCCCAACUAUUGGUGAAUCUUUCACCUUCUUUCUGUCUGAAAUUGGUGAUCUAUAGAUGGAGGGC